CCUACGGGAGGCUGCAGUGGGGAAUAUUGGACAAUGGGGGCAACCCUGAUCCAGCCAUGCCGCGUGUGUGAAGAAGGCCCUCGGGUUGUAAAGCACUUUCAGUGAGGAAGAACGCCUGGUGGUUAAUACCCAUCAGGAAAGACAUCACUCACAGAAGAAGCACCGGCUAACUCCGUGCCAGCAGCCGCGGUAAUACGGAGGGUGCGAGCGUUAAUCGGAAUUACUGGGCGUAAAGCGCGCGUAGGUGGCUUGAUAAGCCGGUUGUGAAAGCCCCGGGCUCAACCUGGGAACGGCAUCCGGAACUGUCAAGCUAGAGUGCAGGAGAGGAAGGUAGAAUUCCCGGUGUAGCGGUGAAAUGCGUAGAGAUCGGGAGGAAUACCAGUGGCGAAGGCGGCCUUCUGGACUGACACUGACACUGAGGUGCGAAAGCGUGGGUAGCAAACAGGAUUAGAUACCUUGGUAGUC
rnacentral:rRNA from 1 species